GGUGCGAGUGUUUUGGUUGUAUUUUCUUUCUACUCUCGUGUUCAAACCGUUAGCUGUCCAAACCACCAAGGCUUCUCCUGUCAGUCAGCGAACCGAGCCGGCUGUUCGCUGUGCCGCCAUCUUGGAAAAAGCAAGAGUUUGUGAUUAUGCUGCAAGAUGAAAGUGGCUGAAGAGAAUGGCUGUGAGUAGGAGUUCUGUUUGGUUUCCCUGUGGCUGGAGGCAGGAAAGGAGGACAACAGACUUCUUUUGGACAUGGUUAUGAUGCCAUCAAUUCAGAAUUCAGAGCUACGAAUUGCCUGUGACUUGGACGACUUCGUGAUAGGUGGAAUAGCUGCUCUGGAGAACAGUCCCUACAAUGGUCAGAUUUUCUCUGUCAGUGACUCGGUCUGAGUUCUCUUCAAAGGACUUAUUAGAGAUUAGUCCUCUAUGUCAUCAGAGGUAUUUUUGAAAACAGGGUUCUAAGACACUUCCAUAAUGGUAAAGACACUGUCAAUGGUAAAGGCACAGAGUCGAAGGUGACCUCUAGUGAUGAUGAUUAUUCAAAAAGUGUAAACAGAAAACAAAUAGAAUAAUCGUGUAUCAUGAUCAAAAACAAGUUUAUUGAGGACUACCUGGAAUACUGAAUGAUGACAUUGGUUUAUUAUAAAGCCAUUGAAAAUGAAAUCAGAGUCGGGUCAUUUUUGACCCAUCUUGUGCAUCUAAGGGUUAAUCAUCUCUGUCAUCUUAUGCAACCCAAAAGCCACAGAAUUCUGCAGCCACAUCCUUCCACUUAGUUCACAAAUCACAACUGUGAUACUGAACAUUUAGAACAGGAAAUGUCUGUGGCACAAUGUUGUUAAAUGCAAAAGUAUCAUUUCUUCCCUUUUUACCAGUGAUGAUAAUAUUUCAAUUCAAUGCGGUCAUAUAUGUCAUAUGGGCACUUUGCAUUAUUGAAAAAAAAAAUGUAGUUGAAAAGUUGCAACAUUUAAUUUCCAGGUAAAAAAAAAUCUCUUCUUAAAGUUUAGUGUAACGUAGCAUCCAGGGGAGAAAGAGGAGCUACGUAAUGACGGGUUUAUCAACAAUGGUUGACAUUUCAGGAAUACUUCGUGCGUUCAUGUACCAGAAUAUCAUCAUUGAAAUAAUCUUUUUUUGUGUCUAUGUUAUAUUGUAAUAUUGUAAUAGUUCAGUGGGGAUUAAAAUUAAAUAACAAAUGUCGCAGAACACCCUUGAAGAUAUAAACAGCCAUAAUGUUAUUGUAUUAUUGACACUAAAUAUCUGCAUGAACUAUAACAAGUUAAACAUAAUGGUGAAUUCAGACUGUUCCGUGUUUAAUGGCUCUGGAUGCUAAUGUGUUUUUUCCACUCGUUCCGGUGCUUCCGCUGUAAGACAAGCUGCGUGCACAGCUGCAGGGUUACUGGAAUUUAUCCUCUGUGUUAUUGAUUUUUGUUGCAGUUUGCAAAUGUUUACACAACAAAAUGCCUUCUUUUUGUUAAAUGAUCUCUCUGACUCGUGCUCUUGUCCCUGCAUUAGAGGUCAGGAUGUGAGCUGGACGAUAAGAUGCAAAGAGACGGACAGGUUGUCGGGGUUCACUGGUGUCUGUCACUGUGUAAUAACCUGCCCAGAGACCAAACUGCUGCUGCUGCCAUUUCUGGUUUCAAUCAGACCUGAAAUAACUUUGCACAUAAAUUUGAAGGCUGCAAAAGCACACAAUAGUAACAACAACAACAACAAUGAUAAACCAGAAGCAGCAUCAAUACAUGAUAUUUAGGAGAAAUAUAACUAAAAAAUCUGGAAAUAUAUCUGAAUAUCUUGUGUAUUAACCGAAAGGAAAUAUAUCAGGUGAAAUAAAAAAUAAAAAAAUUUAUUUGUUGUACACUGAAGAGUUGCUAUUCAGUGACAAAACAAGUGCAAAUGUGAGGGUUUUUUGUUUUUACAAUUUUAACUGUCAGGAUCUUUGUUUUUAAUUUUAGCAUUAUUUUAAAGCACAUUUCUUGUCAAUUAAUCAAAAAACGGUUUAAAAAACCCAUUAUAAAUAGAAAUUACAUCACAAGCACCAUCAACUCAAUCAGAGCAGCAUCACAUCCUGACCUGCCACCACUAAUGUUUUUUAGUGAAGCUGGACUUUUGAUCUCUGAACCCAGGGAAGGGAAGAGGACCAGGAAAUAACACUUCCUCUUAACGAUCACCACCAAACACUGGUACCUCACUUGACAGGUCGAAAUUGAUUAAAGGCAAUGAUGACCUCCACACACACGCAUACAUGUAAGUACACACUUCAACUGGGCAGUCGCUUACAUCUCAUGACCACACAGCGAUGAUCGUCAAAGUGAAUUAAAAUGCUCUUCACAUACGUAUAGUCUGAGGGUUCUCUUUAUUGCUGCAGUUUGUGUUUUUUUAGGUCAAAAACUGUAGUUGUCUUCCUUAUAAUAUUGACUUUAUCUCAAUUUCUGCUAUACAUACUGCUGCGAUAUGAUUACACCUCUCUGUACAGUGAAGAAAUACCACGGUCGUUUAUAAAAGGUGAAAUUUAAAACCGUGGCUUU